AAGGUCAAUCCCUUUUCUUAUCA
rnacentral:tRNA from 1 species